rnacentral:rRNA from 1 species
UACGGAGGGUGCAAGCGUUACUCGGAAUCACUGGGCGUAAAGGGCGCGUAGGCGGAUGGAUAAGUCUUUUGUGAAAUCUAACGGCUUAACCGUUAAACUGCUUAAGAAACUAUCUAUCUAGAGUAGGGGAGAGGCAGAUGGAAUUCUUGGUGUAGGGGUAAAAUCCGUAGAUAUUAAGAAGAAUACCCAUUGCGAAAGCGAUCUGCUGGAACUUAACUGACGCUAAUGCGCGAAAGCGUGGGGAGCAAAC